CCUACGGGAGGCAGCAGUGAGGAAUAUUGGUCAAUGGGCGCGAGCCUGAACCAGCCAAGUAGCGUGAAGGAUGACUGCCCUACGGGUUGUAAACUUCUUUUAUAAAGGAAUAAAGUGAGGCACGUGUGCCUUUUUGUAUGUACUUUAUGAAUAAGGAUCGGCUAACUCCGUGCCAGCAGCCGCGGUAAUCCGGAGGAUCCGAGCGUUAUCCGGAUUUAGUGGGUUUAAAGGGAGCGUAGAUGGGUUUUUAAGUCAGUUGUGAAAGUUUGCGGCUCAACCGUAAAAUUGCAAUUGAAACUGGCCGGCUUGAGUACAGUUGAGGUAAGCGGAAUUCGUGGUGUAGCGGUGAAAUGCGUAGAUAUCACGAAGAACGCCGAUUGCGAAGGCAGCUUACUAAACUGCCACUGACAUUGAGGCUCGAAAGUGUGGGUAUCAAACAGGAUUAGAUACCCGAGUAGUC
rnacentral:rRNA from 1 species